UACAGAGGGGGCAAGCGUUAAUCGGAAUUACUGGGCGUAAAGCGUGCGCAGGCGGUUCUAUAAGGCAGAUGUGAAAUCCCCGGGCUCAACCUGGGAACUGCAUUUGUGACUGUAGAGCUGGAGUGCGGCAGAGGGGGAUGGAAUUCCGCGUGUAGCAGUGAAAUGCGUAGAUAUGCGGAGGAACACCGAUGGCGAAGGCAAUCCCCUGGGCCUGCACUGACGCUCAUGCACGAAAGCGUGGGGAGCAAACAGG
rnacentral:rRNA from 1 species